AUAGGUUCGAAAAAAGCGAUUGUGCUCGCGCGGGGUAAAGAGCGUCGCGAGCUCGGUCUGCGUGCUCCCCUGGCGUUGUUUCCUCAAGUGUCGACUGGCACCCCCCCACACCAAUACCUCGGCAUUUUAUAUGAAGGAGAGCAACUCUUCGAGACCUGUCCCGAUACAUGACCCGCGUGUAGCGAGCGGGUAUAUUGGCUCGCGGUCGGCUAACGUGGGAGUGUUACCUAGCUACGAGCCCGGAGGGAGCGCGAGGCGCCGGUGACUACCACGAAACCCCCUCUCCCACUCUGGACGGAGGUCGGGAUUUUGUUCGUUUCCAAACACCGCGGCCGCCUUUUCGGUUACCGUGCAACGUUGCGUGAGAGGUCAGAGGUCGGGCAGUUUACCAGUAAAGGACUUGCAGUGGCCUGACUGAAGAAUUAUCAAUGCCGGGAAGUCCUUGUCUUCAUCAGACAGCCUAGCGAAGGUGCAGGAGGUAGCAAGCUGGCUUUUGGAAAUGAACCAGGAUCUGCUGUCGGGGGGCAGCAGCAGCA